rnacentral:tRNA from 1 species
UUCCUGAUGGCUCAGCAGUAAAGAACCUGCCUGCAGUGCAGGAGAUUCAGGUUCAAACCCUUGUCUGGAUG